AGACCCCUUGUAGACGACGAGGUUGAUAGGUUCGAGGUGGAAGUGCAGCAAUGCAUGCAGCUGACGAAUACUAAUCGGUCGAGGGCUUAUCCUA
rnacentral:rRNA from 1 species